AGUUUUAGGGCAAAAUGGAGUGUCAUCUCAACCUCAGGUUGACCCUCCACUGAAACUUGUGGAUUCACUCCACUCUUCGCUGUGAUUAGUGCCUCCACUCGGUUUCUCUGAGAAAUCGAGAAAGGGGCCCUUAGAUUGUAAGGUAUUACAGAGGGGGUCUCCUUGUUCACACUAUUAGAAGUGGCAGCAAAAGAAGAUGGGUUCAGACAAUCCAUUGCCCAAAUGGGCUUCAAAGCCUUGCAUUAUGGGCAUCGAUGAGGCUGGAAGAGGCCCUGUUUUAGGUCCCAUGGUCUAUGGAUGUCUAUAUUGUGCCGUAUCCUAU